CCUACGGGUCGCAGCAGUGGGGAAUAUUGCACAGUGGGCGCAAGCCUGAUGCAGCCAUGCCGCGUGUAUGAAGAAGGCCUUCGGGUUGUAAAGUACUUUCGGCGGGGAGGAAGGCGAUAAGGUUAAUAACCUUGUCGAUUGACGUUACCCGCAGAAGAAGCACCGGCUAACUCCGUGCCAGCAGCGGCGGUAAUACGGAGGGUGCAAGCGUUAAUCGGAAUUACUGGGCGUAAAGCGCACGCAGGCGGUCUGUCAAGUCGGAUGUGAAAUCCCCGGGCUCAACCUGGGAACUGCAUUCGAAACUGGCAGGCUGGAGUCUUGUAGAGGGGGGUAGAAUUCCAGGUGUAGCGGUGAAAUGCGUAGAGAUCUGGAGGAAUACCGGUGGCGAAGGCGGCCCCCUGGACAAAGACUGACGCUCAGGUGCGAAAGCGUGGGGAGCAAACAGGAUUAGAUACCCCAGUAGUC
rnacentral:rRNA from 1 species